GUGGAUUAGAUACCCUGGUAGUCCACGCUGUAAACGAUGAAUGCUAGGUGUGGGGGUGCAAACUUCCGUGCCGCAGUUAACACAAUAAGCAUUCCACCUGGGGAGUACGGCCGCAAGGUUGAAACUCAAAGGAAUUGACGGGAGCCCGCACAAGCAGUGGAGUAUGUGGUUUAAUUCGACGCAACGCGAAGAACCUUACCGGGGUUUGACAUCCCAGGAAUCCGGCGUAACGGUUGGAGUGCCCUUCGGGGAACCUGGUGACAGGUGGUGCACGGCCGUCGUCAGCU
rnacentral:rRNA from 1 species